GACAGCCUGGAGGGAGCCCUGACUGAGAAGCAGCAACAAGCAGAGGAAGGAGUCUGUGCUGUGAAGAACUGCCCACCAAGAAAUAUCACUGAGAAGCUUGUGCUCAGCUGAGGAUCAUCCGCUGCCUGCAUUCCAUUUGUGUCCUGCAGGAUCUCAGCUGGGGGCUCCUGCCUCGCUCUGUGCCUCUGAACACUUGUGCAGCCACUUCCCAGAGCAAGCAGAACCUGCUGUGGAACCAGGUGCCGCUGCAAAAUCACCCUAUCCUGAGAUGUGAGAACCAUCUGAAAACCAGUGGAAUUUGCAGAAAUGAAAAUGAAGUGUUUUCUACAUUUCAAGCCUUUGGAAGAUUGCUGAUGCAGCUUUCCAGCAAGGAAGAAAUGGAGAGACCAAAGGGCUCCUGGAACUGUGACCAUUCCUCUGGGCUCAGCUCCCUCUGGCAAUGAUCCCCCAGCAAUCUCAGGGCACGGCCUGGCCAGGAUCCUGCAGCAGCCAGCUCUGGGAGCACCUGGAACAUCCCUCUUCUCCCAGGCAUGGAUCCUGGCACCAUUGUAAGUGCUGAAAGUCACGGACUAUAAAGAGAAAAGGGACACAUCCAGCUUUGAGAACGAAUGUCUUCUGUCAGGAGAUCAUCUCUGCAGAGUUUCACAGAAUUAUCCAGGCUGGAGAAGCCCUCCAGGACCAGUGAGUGCAAUCUGCGCUCAGUGCCCACCUUGUGCCCAGCCCAGAGUGCCGAGUGCCACAUCCAGCCCUUCCUGGGCACCUGCAGGGAUGGGCACUGCACUCCCAACCUCCCUGGGCAGCCCCUGCCAGGCCCUGAGCACCCUUUCCAUGGGGCAAUCCUUGCUGUGCCCGAGCUGAGCCUGGCCCAGCUGGGGCUGUGCCCUUGUCCUGCCCCUCCAUAGGGCAAUCCUUGCUGUGCCCAGCCUGGGCUGUGCCCUUGUCCUGCCAUGGUUUCAUCUCCCUGGAUGUCCCAUGGGGACUGCAGGGACAGCAUCAGAGGCUUGUUCUGGCUCCCAGGAGCCAACAGAUUUCUAUUGUAUUUUAUGUAUGUCAGAGAUUAUUACACCUACUGUGUGCAGCACACGUGCAUCUCCAGAAGGCAACUGGGACAGAGGAGCAGAAACACCAGGAUGUUUGAUUGGAGUCAGGAGCCUCUGGUUCAGGGGCUCAAGCCCAGCCCACACUAAAAGCCUGGCAGCAAAACCUUCUGCUCCAAUGUCUGAGCUCACUUUAGAGGUGCAAUUCAUAAGGAUUUCCCCCCAAAACACCUCAUCUUUCACCUGAAUCCAUUCUGUGCAGCUCCGAUGCCACUGCCCACACUGCCCAGGGGGACUGGGGAGGAGGGCUGGCACUGGGAGAACUCAGCAGAGAUGGGGACACUGUGCUCCAGGAAUGGGGGAAAGAAGAGCAAAAAUCUCUUCUUCAUGAGAGGACUGGAAAUGAAGAGCAAAAACACCAAGAUGUUCAUAUUUCAGCCCUGCUGACUUGGGCACUUCCAUCCCGCACGUAAAUCAGGAUUUCUGCUGUCGAUGGAAGUCACAAAGGACAGCAAUAAGUACUGGGAACUGACAGUGUUCCUACUUAGAAAGUUUUUCCUCUUUCAGGGACAUUUUCUUAAUUAUACUAAUUUGUCAAAUGUAUCUUCAGUUUUACAAGAAGUUUCCUUCUCUGCAUUUGUUAAAAGAGAGAUAAUUGCAUCUGGAAAGCAGCAAAAUGAAAAGAACCUUAAUUAUGCAUUAUAAUAACAAAUGUGUUCUAGUUCAGGUGAGCCAGACCAAUUAUAUGUGAUUAGUGAAUGGAAACAAUUGAUGUUUUUGCAUUUUCAUUUGGGUCUGCUGACCUUUCCUGGUGAAUGAGCUACAAUCUGUCUUCCCUUGGUGCUCAACACAGAACAAAUAUUUUAAUUUAUAGAGCCAUUUGGAGAAAUCAUUGCAGUCUGAUCAGAGACAAGU